AGGAGUGGGGAUUUGGAGAUAGGAUUUAAAAUUUUAGAAAUUAAAAAAAUUUAAAAUUUUCAAAAGAAAAAAUACUAUUUUGGUCAUUUUAGUUUUUGAGGUCUAUUUUUGUGACAAAAACUUAAAAUGUCUAUUUGAGAGAAUUGUCCAUAAAUAAAUGGAUAUAAUUUUAAUUUAUUUAUUUUUCUAUUUUUCUAAAAAUAGCAUAAAAUAAAUUAUACAAAAUUGUACAAAAAUAUGUCUACAAAUCGAAUAAUAGAUACACUCAAACAUAUUUAAUCUAGUAUAUUUUUUUUAAAAUCCAAAACAUUCAAUCAACUCAGAGAAAUAAAAAUGAAUAAUUACGCUCGUCAAUAAAUUUGAUACAUAAAAUGUUAUUCUUUUUUUUUUGUUGUACGAUUAAUCAUACAACUAGUCAUAAGUUGCUUUUUCAACCUAUUCAGAAAAUAGUAGCUAUAAAUUAAAAAUUUAUGCAUCCCGCAAUCUCAAAUCGUUUUCAUCGACGAAGAGACCAUUGUUUGGUUAGAAGAGUCUUGAUCGAGUUUAUUAAUGCUGAUAACAAAAAAAAAAUUAUGCAACUUAAAGUUAGUCGCUGCAACUUGUCGCAUAAAUCUACGAUGAUGAAACAAACAUCAGUUAGUCGUAGGUCAUAAGACCCACGAACUUGCAACAGAAACAUACAAUAUUUUUGUGACACCCCG
rnacentral:lncRNA from 1 species